rnacentral:rRNA from 1 species
UACGGGGGGAGCAAGCGUUGUUCGGAUUUACUGGGCGUAAAGGGCGCGUAGGCGGCGCAGUAAGUCACUUGUGAAAUCUCCGGGCUUAACCCGGAGCGGCCAAGUGAUACUGUCGUGCUAGAGUGCGGAAGGGGCUACUGGAAUUCUCGGUGUAGCGGUGAAAUGCGUAGAUAUCGAGAGGAACACCUGCGGCGAAGGCGGUUCUCUGGGCAUGUCCUGACGCUGAGGAGCGAAAGUGUGGGGAGCGAACAGG